GAACGCUGGCGGCAGGCCUAACACAUGCAAGUCGAACGAGACCUUCGGGUCUAGUGGCGGACGGGUUAGUAACGCGUGGGAACGUGCCCUUCACUACGGAAUAGUCCCGGGAAACUGGGUUUAAUGCCGUAUACGCCCUUCGGGGGAAAGAGUUUCGGUGAAGGAUCGGCCCGCGUUAGAUUAGGUAGUUGGUGGGGUAAUGGCCUACCAAGCCUACGAUCUAUAGCUGGUUUUAGAGGAUGAUCAGCAACACUGGGACUGAGACACGGCCCAGACUCCUACGGGAGGCAGCAGUGGGGAAUCUUGGACAAUGGGCGCAAGCCUGAUCCAGCCAUGCCGCGUGAGUGAUGAAGGCCUUAGGGUCGUAAAGCUCUUUCGCCAGGGAUGAUAAUGACAGUACCUGGUAAAGAAACCCCGGCUAACUCCGUGCCAGCAGCCGCGGUAAUACGGAGGGGGUUAGCG
rnacentral:rRNA from 1 species